AGUGGGAUAACUGGGUCAAAUGGUGAUUCCAUUUCAAGUUUUUUGAGGAAUUUUCAUACUACUUUCCAAAGUGGUUGCAUCAAUUUGCAGUCCCACCAGCAAU
rnacentral:pre_miRNA from 1 species